UCUUCCCGGACCGGGGCACGAACCCGUGUCCCCUGCAUCGGCAGGCGGACUCUCAACCACUGCGCCACCAGGGAAGCCCCGUCAUGGCGUUCUUUGGCCCUGAGGAAGGGGAACUUUUUGGGAUCACUUCCUUUGUCUAAUUGGUCCUGCAGCAGCGGGGCGCCUUUUUCUAAUCAGCGGAGGCACCCUUACUCAGCCAGUGGUAGUCCCAGGCCUCGUCACCUGUGGGAUAAAAGCCAUGCUCUCUCCCAGGCUUGCUUCUGCCAGCAUCUCUAUUUUCCUUUGUGUCUCUUCUCACACUUGGACCCCUGGCCUUUAGUCGUCCCCACCUGAAGUAUUUACAGUGCCCAGCAGGAGUCAGGCUUGAGUGUCUUUUCACAGAUGUUCCCUCUGCAGUUAAUGCACCUCCUACUCCAACUCUGCAUAGCCUCAUCUUUCUAGAUUCUACUUCAGGGUUCUCAUGAAGCUGUCACUUAGAUGUAACUUUUUGCCUCCAUAGGCACCUCUGUGCAUAAAGGUUAUGUUUAUUUAUCUCAUGUGAUUGAAAUUUUGAGUUUAUACAUCUUCCUCCUUAAUGAAGGCUUUAAGGGCAGGAGUCGUUUCUAAUCCUUAGCACAGAGCAGAUGCUUUUUUUCUUUUUAUUUAGGUGCUUUUUAAUGAUGAUAAAAUGUAUGGUUUAAACCACUCAUUUUACAAUAUUUUUGCUUUAGGUUGUGACAGAAAUGAAGUUUACAGAAGUCGUGUUCCUGCGAUAAGAAAUAAAGAUGUGACCUUCCAGUUGUGUAAAGCUCAUGAAGGCUGUGUAAGUGCAUCGGGUGCGCUAAGGAACCUGGAGCUAAGUGGGCUAGUUCUGAGAGAGAGAGACUUAACUAUGUUGACAAAAGUAAGCCUUCAUUGUGUCCUGCCAACCUUUGAUAGUUGCUUUUGGGGCAAACUAAAGCAAUAAAAUUUAAAACUGUUCCUCCCCAUUAAAGGGAUUGAAUAUUUGGCCACUUUGGUGAACCUGUGUCUUGCGAAUUGUCCAGUUGGAGACGGAGGUUUCGAAAUAUCAGACUACCAGAAGGCAUGAAGAAACCUGAGCUGAGAGUCUUCGUUCCAGGAGACCUGAUCUUGACUGUAUGCCUGGUUUGAGGCGCAUCGCUCUGAACUGCAACAAGCUCAUUGGUGACCUGGGUGCUCGUGCUUUUGCAGAAUCUCUUAGUGAGGAUUUAUGGCUUGGAGGCUUGGCCGCAAAGCAACCUGUAAGUAAUGGAAGGAAACACUCUGCUGGUAAAGAAUGUUAUGGUCCUGAACCUCUACCACCUGGUGUGUCUGGUUUCCAGCCGUGGCGUACUGCAGAACGUGCAAAAAGCAACAGGUAACGUGUUUGCAUUCCCUGUCUUUUUCAAUCAUUCAGAGUCCUUUAUUUUGGAACUUCUGUUAUGUGAGCGGUCUCUGGUGCUUUCUAUAGAGGAAAAAAGAUAACUCACACAUGGCUUCUGCCCAAUGAGCCCUCUAAGGAAGAAAAACAAAAGGUAAUUGGGAGUUUCAAGUUGUUUCUCAAGUGUCACAACAGAGCUAACCCCGUGGGAGUCUUGAGGAGACUAAAAUUAUCACCAAUUAUGCAUGUGAGGAAAGUUUCAUUAAAGGCAGGUGUAGUUGCGUGAAGCCCUACAGCACAGAAGUAGGAAUUUGGAUAUGUACGAAUGGGCAAAAAGACAUUUUAGACAGGGGAAAUAGUUUAAUACAGAAUGGAUGAAAAUUAUGCAUUAGACCUAUUCUAAAACAACUGGCUUAUUAACUCAGUAAAUCAGAUUUAGUGAGUCAAACUAGCUUUACCUGAUUUCUUAUCCAGGGGAUAGCUGUUCAUAGUAAUUUUUGUCACAGAACAGUAAAUAAAAUGGUUGAACUAUAGGUUUAGGCUUGCUAAGUGAAAUAGAUUGCUCUAGAUGAUUUUCAAGUGACUGACUUGGUAGUACUCACGAAAUUGGAGAUUAACAAUUGCUUAAGAAAACAAAGAGAAUUGAUUUUAAAUAGUACUUGAAGUAGUUACUGUGUAAAAUAUCUGUUCAGUAGCUCAUGUUAAAUGGAUGUUUAUAAUCCCCAUUGGACAACCGACUACUGUUUUGCAAAUGGUAAUGUGAAUUGCUGUUGCAUAAACUAUAGUGUUGAAUCCCCAGUCUUUGCACUUGAGUUUAGCAACUUUGUGGUUUCCUAUCUUCUUCCUGAGACACUUAAUCUCACAUCCAUCCUCCUCACACAGGGUGGUAAAUUAGAGAAUGAUUAAUGUCACCAUUUAAAGAAGUGAGACUGAAAUCUCAAGCAUCCUUAACAUAGGAACUGAAGGGGCCUCUCAGCAGUUCAGAGAGUUAUUACCGAGCCAGUCACCUGAA